CUGGCCGAGCAGAGGCCAAUUCAGGAAGAUUCCCCAGCAUGAAGUCAAUCUCCCCAAGGAUGGUAAUGACUUCAUGACUGUAUGCAUUGAGUUCACUCUGGGAAAGAAAAUCAGUUACACUUACACAAACGGUACAGUAUACUUGGCUUAGGACAGUGGUUCUCAACCUGUGGACUGUGACUCUUACAGGGGUCGCAUAUCAGAGAGUUUACACUGUGAUUCCUAACAGUAGCAAAAUUACAGUUAUGAAGAGGCAAUGAAAAUAAUUUUAUGUUUGGAGGUCACCACAACUGGAUUCAGAGUGGCAGCAGUAGAAGGUUGAGAACCACUGACUUGGGAUGUCACAAAGCUCAGACCAGUUGCAGUGACAACUGGUAUUACUAGACACCACCCCCACCCCCGGUUUGAUAUCAGAUAUAUAUAUAUAUAUGUAUAUAUAUACAUAUAUAUAUAUAUAUUUAAUCUCCAAGUUCUCAAUACCGCACACCCUGGAUACUCUGAUGGCUCUUCCUCUCCAAUAUAUUCAGUGCCUCUAAAUUCUCCACUAUCGAUCCAAACCUUUUAAAAUAAGGUUAAAAUUAUCUCUUUCACCAUCACCUCCCAAUUUAUAACAGCCUGCCGCAGUCACAAUUUAGGUGCCAUGGCAACUUUGCUUUUGAGCUGCAUCUUAAUACUUCAUUCUUAACGCAUACAACCACAGUCACAUUUUUAUCUGCACAUGUUCUAUUUUGCAACCAGAUUUGAAAUUCUGGACUUACUGUAUGUCUUCAGGAAUCCUACGUAUGUACAAACACACAAACUAUCUGAUGUUUGAAGAAUGGAUGACUCAUAGGGUUUAAUAUUCAUUACCCUAUCUUUGUUUACUAUCACAGCCCCUCUUUACCAAAAGUACUCUGAAGAAAGCUUUCUAGCUUCUACUACAACUACUGUUACCGUUUUUUGAAACGGUCUUUGAUUACAAACCUGAAAAUAUUGGUCUUACCAUACCUGAAAUACAGAUAGAAAGUAAAAAGUAGAAACAAUAUUACUAGAGAGUACAGGAGCCUACAGGUGUGCCCCAAACACUGCUUAAAAUCAAAGCUUGCGUCUAAAGAGGCUAUAUGGUUUCACCUGGGACCUCAUUAGAACUCUCAGACACUGUCUCCCACGGACUAAAUCAAGAUUUGUAUUUUAACAGGUCCCCAGGGUGAUUGUCAGUAUACUAGAGUUCAAGGAUAUAUAUGAUUAAUGAUACACAAGGCCAUGAGGGAAAUUAUGGGUGCUGAAGAUUAUUAGGAAAUAAUAACACUGUCAACAAAAAGAAACCAUUUUUAAAACGUUAUUAAAUAAGACGGGGGAGUGAAAUAGCUGAACUGUACCAAGCAGACAAACUACUGACACAGACUAUCCAAAGUUAAUUGCACAUUGUAAGGAAAGAGACUAAAAAUGCAGCAGAAAAGGGCAAGGCUAUACAGAGCAUUUACAGGCGAGAAACUGCCGGCCGCCAAGUAAAGCAUGCACUUCAAUAUGAGUGCAAAUACAACAGUUUGGGCUCUAAGUGGGGCUGGAGAGUCCAGAAUCCAGGAUAACUCUGCUUCCUCUUUACUGCUGGAUAAACAAAACCGAACAACCUGCUACAGAACAAGAAUAAGGUAGCGCACCGGGCCCCUCCCAGCCCGUGGACGCUCACUUUGCUCAGGUCUGCUGCGAUGGCUGCCAAGAUGUCCUUCUCUCGCUCUUGCACCAUCCUCCGGAGGGCCUCGAGCUGCUGCAGUCGGAAACGCAGCGGCCGCGAUCGGCCGGACCGGAACGUCUGGCGAAGUCGUUGGACCUGUCGCUCCAUGGCGGGGCCUGAGGAGAACGCCGAGCGAGGCAGGUGAAGCAGCACAAUACCGGUAAGGCACUGCUCGGGAUGACGCCACAGUUCACUGCUUCUCGGGACAGCUGGCUUCCAUCCGCCUACUGGCCCAGACCAAACCCUUGUGUGGACCAAACCCCAGCGCUCCGCCGCUAACGACAAAGUGCGUACCCAUUGGCUGGGCCGCUGCACAAGACCACGAGGCCACGCCCCCAUACCACUAACCGAGCCUUCCGAUUGCUGCUCCGGGGCGGGGGUGUGUAGGUGCAGUUUUUGGCACGCAAAGACGCGGAAGAAUUGUUCUGGCUUCAGAAAAGAGCCCAGCGUCCUCUAGGAAGAGGAACUGAGGCCCCGAGGUGCUCACCAGGCCGGAAGCAACCUCCCUUCGCCUAGGGCGCCUCAGAUUCAGAGGCAAAGUCGCUGGCUGUGACUGGGGUGGGCUGGAUGACGCGCACGAAGAAGGAAUUUCUUGGACAAGGUGGCUCCUAGGGUAGACUGAGGAUGACAGCCAUGGUGUCUCCAAAUGGCACAGAAGUGGGCAGUCCUGCCAAGAGAUCCAGCUGAGAAUCACCUGAGCAGCUUCUAAUCUUUGAGACCGACCACCCCAUGCUUCCUUCUGAUGAAAUCCCUGAAAUCCCUCCUGCAUGAACUUUCACAAAAGCCUGUGAGUUGAGGCUUAUCUGAGGUGAUUCUUGGUGAAGCAAGACAAUUGGCAAGGCUGCCUCACUCCACCUCAGCUUCGCUCUUGCUAAAGCAAGUCAGAACAAACAGCACAGCAUUCUGUUUGAAGGUUUCAUGGUUGAAGCUGGUGGACUGCAGCUGAGAAAGUGUGAGAGGAGCAGGCUUUGAAUGUUACAAAACAAAUCAGGACCCUGCACCCUCAAACUCAGAAUCACCUGUGCAGAGCAAGCCAUGUGCAGAGCAAGCCAGCGGCCGAAGUCUCCCGUCCUUCCUCCUGCCCUGAAGCCCUGGGCUCGAGCGGUCCUCCAGAGGCUGAGGACAGCGCAUACAUGACAGGCUUCCUCACUCCUUAGUGAUGGGCACAGGACGGACCCCAUGAUGUUUUAUUAAUCUCAGGCUGGAAUUUCAGCAUUCUCUAAUUUGGAAAUGAAGCUGCCAACUAUUAACUAUUCAUUUUGGCUCUUCUCCAGCAAACAUCAUGCCAGGGGAACGUAUAUUAAACCAAGGCAGGGCUGGAGAGAUGGCUCAGUGGUUAAGAGCACUGACUGCUCUUCCAGAGAUCCUGAAUUCAAAUCCCAGCAACCACGUGGCGGCUCAAAACCAUCUGUAAUGGAAUCCUUUCCUUGUGUGUUGAAGACAGUGACAGUGUACUCAUAAAAUAAAUAAACAAUAAAAAAAUGUUUAAACCAA